CGGGCUUUUACCAUGUCUCCCAAACAAUUUCAGUACAUAUGGCGCAAGACGAUUUCACAUACAUAUCGAGGUCGGAAAGGGAUCGGGUGUUUUCACGUCUCACCAUAGUGCCCG
rnacentral:rRNA from 1 species